rnacentral:rRNA from 1 species
AUUUGAAAUCUGGUAGCCUUCGGCUGCCCGAGUUGUAAUCUAGAGAAGUGUUUUCCGUGCCGGCCCAUGUACAAGUCCCUUGGAACAGGGCGUCAUAGAGGGUGAGAAUCCCGUCCUUGACAUGGACCCCCGGUGCUUUGUGAUACACUUUCAACGAGUCGAGUUGUUUGGGAAUGCAGCUCAAAAUGGGUGGUGAAUUCCAUCUAAAGCUAAAUAUUGGCGAGAGACCGAUAGCGAACAAGUACCGUGAGGGAAAGAUGAAAAGCACUUUGGAAAGAGAGUUAAACAGUACGUGAAAUUGUUGAAAGGGAAACGAUUGAAGUCAGUCAUGCUCUUUGGAUUCAGCCGUUCUGCGGUGUAUUUCCAUUGAGUGGGGUCAACAUCAGUUUUGACCGCUGGAUAAAGGCACUAGGAAGGUAGCACUCUCGGGUGAACUUAUAGCCUAGCGUCAUAUACAGUGGUUGGGACUGAGGAACGCAGCAUGCCUUUAUGGCCGGGAUUCGUCCACGUACAUGCUUAGGAUGUUGACAUAAUGGCUUUAAACGACCCGUCUUA